GGGAAGUCCAUACUACAUGGCGCCAGAAGUAUUGAAAAGAAACUAUGGACCAGAGGUUGAUAUUUGGAGUGCGGGUGUGAUAUUAUAUAUUUUAUUGUGCGGGGUUCCGCCAUUCUGGGCUGAGACUGAACAAGGAGUAGCUCUGGCAAUUUUGAGGGGCGUACUUGAUUUUAAGAGGGAACCAUGGCCACAGAUUUCAGAGAGUGCUAAAAGCCUUGUCCGGCAGAUGUUGGAGCCAGAGCCCAAGAAGCGUUUAACUGCUCAGCAGGUGCUUGAUCAUCC
rnacentral:misc_RNA from 1 species